GGCUCUGUGGCGCAAUGGAUAGCGCAUUGGACUUCUAAUUCAAAGGUUGUGGGUUCGAGUCCCCACCAGAGUCG